AUUGAACGCUGGCGGCAGGCCUAACACAUGCAAGUCGAACGAGUGGCGGACGGGUGAGGAAUGUCUGGGAAACUGCCUGAUGGAGGGGGAUACCUACUGGAAACGGUAGCUAAUACCGCAUACCAUCAGAUGUGCCCAGAUGGGAUUAGCUAGUUGGUGGGGUAACGGCUCAACAAGGCGAAGAUCCCUAGCUGGUCUGAGAGGAUGACCAGCCACACUGGAACGGAGCCACGGUCAAUACUCCGAAGGGAGGCAGAAGUGGGGAUUAUGGCACAAUGGGGGCAAGCCUGAUGCAGCCAUGCCGCGGGUAUGAAGAAGGCCGUCGGGUUGUAAAGUACUUUCAGCGGGGAGGCGUUACCCGCAGAAGAAGCACCGGCUAACUCCGUGCCAGCCGCCGCGGUAAUAC
rnacentral:rRNA from 1 species